ACAGAUCUUCCUGUGGUUGGGAUUCUCUGGGCCAGCCCAGAAGCUCCUACCAUAUCCAGGAAAGUGUGGGGAUGGGGUUUGGCCACAGGACUCUUCUCUAUCUUCCUGCAAAGCUGUUUGAGUGACAAGUUUGCAAGCAAAGAGAAAGCAGCCAUCACGUAAGAAGACUGACAGCCCUGAAACUGCCAUGCUAGAGAGGCCAUGUAGGCCCUCUGGUUGAUGGUCUCAAAUGAGCCUGCUUCCAGCCAUCCCCAUCAUGGCGCCAGACAUCAUCUCUGCCUUUGCCUCGACAAUAUGCCCUGGCUAGGCUGCCAGAGGAUAAGACACAUGGAGCCGACCUGAGUUGCCCCAGUUGUGCUGGCCAAGGCCAUCCUAGAUCAACUGGAUUUGUCAACUGUCAGGCAUAUGAAGGAGGCCAGUCAAGACCAGAACUGUCCAGCCACUCCGGUGUAAAUCACUAAUCCAGACCUGUGAGCAAAAUAAAUGCUUAUUAUUUUAA